GGGUAACCUGCCUGUAAGACUGGGAUAACUCCGGGAAACCGGGGCUAAUACCGGAUGCUUGAUUGAACCGCAUGGUUCAAUUAUAAAAGGUGGCUUUUAGCUACCACUUACAGAUGGACCCGCGGCGCAUUACCUAGUUGGUGAGGUAACGGCUCACCAAGGCAACAAUGCGUAGCCAACCUGAAAGGGUGAUCGGCCACACUGGGACUGAAACACGGCCCAAACUCCUACGGGAGGCAGCAUUAGGGAAUCUUCCGCAAUGGACAAAAGUCUGACGGACCAACCCCCCGUGAGUGAUGAAGGUUUUCGGAUCGUAAAACUCUGUUGUUAGGAAAAAACAAUUACCGUUCAAAUAGGGCGGUACCUUGACGGUACCUAACCAAAAAGCCACGGUUAACUACUUGCCAGCACCCGCGGUAAUACUUAGGUGGCAACCGUUGUCCGGAAUUAUUGGGCGUAAAGCGCGCGCAGGCGGUUUCUUAAUUCUGAUGUGAAAGCCCCCGGCUCAACCGGGGAGGGUCAUUGGAAACUGGGGAACUUGAUUGCAAAAGAGGAGAGUGAAAUUCCACUUGUAGCGGUGAAAUGCGUAGAGAUGUGAAGGAACACCAUUGGCGAAGGCGAUUCUCUGGUCUGUAACUGACGCUGAGGCGCGAAAGCGUGGGGAGCGAACAGGAUUAGAUACCCUGGUAGUCCACGCCGUAAACGAUGAGUGCUAAGUGUUAGAGGGUUUCCGCCCUUUAGUGCUGCAGCAAACGCAUUAAGCACUCCGCCUGGGGAGUACGGUCGGCAGACUGAAACUCAAAGGAAUUGACGGGGGCCCGCACAAUCGGUG
rnacentral:rRNA from 1 species